CCCGCGUUCCUUAAGUUUGAUGGGAAAGCCCACGGCUCAACCGUGGAGGGUCAUUGGAAACUGGGGGACUUGAGUGCAGAAGAGGAAAGUGGAAUUCCAAGUGUAGCGGUGAAAUGCGUAGAGAUUUGGAGGAACACCAGUGGCGAAGGCGACUUUCUGGUCUGUAACUGACGCUGAGGCGCGAAAGCGUGGGGAGCAAACAGGAUUAGAUACCCUGGUAGUCCACGCCGUAAACGAUGAGUGCUAAGUGUUAGGGGGUUUCCGCCCCUUAGUGCUGCAGCUAACGCAUUAAGCACUCCGCCUGGGGAGUACGGUCGCAAGACUGAAACUCAAAGGAAUUGACGGGGGCCCGCACAAGCGGUGGAGCAUGUGGUUUAAUUCGAAGCAACGCGAAGAACCUUACCAGGUCUUGACAUCCCGUUGACCACUGUAGAGAUAUAGUUUCCCCUUCGGGGGCAACGGUGACAGGUGGUGCUAUGGUUGUCGUCAGCUCGUGUCGAUGAGAUGUUGGAGCUUAAGCUCCUUUGCAACGUUAGCGGCGGACGGUUGAGUAACUUACGUGUGCCAUCUACCUUAUAGUUUGGGCACUCUAAGGUGACUGCCGGUGACAAACCGGAGGAAGGUGGGGAUGACGUCGAAUCAUCAUGUUCCACCUUAUGACGUGGGCUACACACGUGCUACAAUGGACGGUACAUUCGGUUGUCGCUACUCGCGAGAUGGAGCUAAUCCGAUAACGUCGCAUUAGCUCAGUUCGGAUUGUAGGCUGCAACUCGGCUACAUGAAGGCGGACGAUCGCUAGUAAUCGCGGAUCUGCAUGCCGCGGUGAAUACGUUCACACUGGGCCUUGUAGACACGGCCCAGACUCACUACGGGAGGCAGCAGUUUGUAAUCUUCCACGAAGUCGGUGAGGUAAGCCUUUUGGAGCCAGCCGCCGAAGGUGAGUGAUAGAUGGUUUUGGUGAAGUCGUACAAGAGCUCUGGCCUUGUAAGGGAAGAACAAGUUCAGUAGUAACUGGCUGUACCUUGACGGUACCUUAUUAGAAAGCCACGGCUAACUACGUGCCAGCAGCCGCGGUAAUACGUAGGUGGCAAGCGUUGUCCGGAAUUAUUGGGCGUAAAGCGCGCGCAGGCGGUCCUUUAAGUCUGAUGUGAAAGCCCACGGCUCAAC
rnacentral:rRNA from 1 species